rnacentral:rRNA from 1 species
CCUACGGGAGGCAGCAGUGAGGAAUAUUGGUCAAUGGACGAGAGUCUGAACCAGCCAAGUAGCGUGAAGGAUGACUGCCCUAUGGGUUGUAAACUUCUUUUAUAUGGGAAUAAAAUGUUCCACGUGUGGGAUUUUGUAUGUACCAUAUGAAUAAGGAUCGGCUAACUCCGUUCCAGCAGCCGCGGUAAUACGGAGGAUCCGAGCGUUAUCCGGAUUGAUUGGGUUUAAAGGGAGCGUAGGUGGAUUGUUAAGUCAGUUGUGAAAGUUUGCGGCUCAACCGUAAAAUUGCAGUUGAAAAUGGCAGUCUUGAGUACAGUAGAGGUGGGCGGAAUUCGUGGUGUAGCGGUGAAAUGCUUAGAUAUCACGAAGAACACCGAUUGCGAAGGCAGCUCACUGGACUGCAACUGACACUGAGGCUCGAAAGUGUGGGUAUCAAACAGGAUUAGAUACCCGAGUAGUC